rnacentral:rRNA from 1 species
GGUAUGCUGUUCGCCAUUUAAAGUGGUACGUGAGCUGGGUUAAAACCGUCGUGAGACAGUUUGGUCCCUAUCUGCCGUGGGCGUUGAAGUUUGAAAGGGGGCUGCUCCUAGUACGAGAGGACCGGAGUGGACGAACCUCUGGUGUAUCGGUUGUCACGCCAGUGGCAUUGCCGAGUAGCUAAGUUCGGAAGAGAUAACCGCUGAAAGCAUCUAAGCGGGAAACUCGCCUUGAGAUGAGACUUCCCGGGAACUAGAUUCCCCUAAAGGGUCGUUCGAGACCAGGACGUUGAUAGGUCAGGUGUGGAAGCGCAGUAAUGCGUUAAGCUAACUGAUACUAAUUGCCCGUGCGGCUUGUUCCU